rnacentral:rRNA from 1 species
AACGUAGGUUCCGAGCGUUAUCCGGAUUUACUGGGCGUAAAGCGCGUUCAGGCGGUUUGGCAAGUCGGGCAUGAAAUCUCUCGGCUCAACCGGGAGAGGUUGUCCGAUACUGCUGGACUGGAGGGCAGUAGAGGGUGGUGGAAUUCCGGGUGUAGUGGUGAAAUGCGUAGAGAUCCGGAGGAACACCAGUGGCGAAGGCGGGUCUCUGGGCCGAGUAUUGACGCUGAGGAGCGAAAGCGUGGGAGCAA